rnacentral:rRNA from 1 species
UACAGGGUUUCCGUAGGUGACCUGCGGAAGGAUCAUUAU